CAGCGCUUCACCGUCCUCUCCGUCCUGAUUGAGGGUCAGACUCACACAACGUGAAUCGACGUACAAUGAGGGGAAUUCAAGCCGAAUUGUAUUUGAGCUUUUCGGCCACAUGCUCGCGUGUUGUUCGGUCGACAGAACCCGGAUGUGCCGUUCAGAAACGGAAACGUGGAAACGUCGACGACGGAUUUCUAUUUUGCAAUAGUGACACAAGUGACUUGUUAAUUACAGCCUGUCCUCAACUCACAGACUUCGUGGCUUGAUUUAUUGAGACGUUAGACAGAUAGAAACUGACUCAACCGGCUCGCGCAGACGGACUUCAAAGAGCCGACAUGUAAAGGCGUUAGUUAGGUAACAGUCAGCCGCACCAGUAAACUAGUCCAGCUCCCUCGAUGUUGCUUAAACGUCGGUUCAACGAUCACUUCACUUGCCAAUCGCCCUACUUCUGGCACAUUGUUGUGGUCUGGCAUCCACGUGACAACAGAUUAAAAUGUGUCCAGACGCGUAUAAAGUUAACCCGUGCGGAGCCAUUUCUGUUGAAUAAACUUUAUUCCUUCUUUCAAUCAAACACGUGUCUCAUACUGUGAUAUGACUGCUGUUACAUGGCCGUGCAUCGGUGCAUCUCAUCCUCACGUGUGCAGAGAAGCAGCCCCACUGAGAGGAGACGGCCGGAGAGGGAGGAAGAGGUCCCUCAGAGAGAAGAUGGAUGUGGAGGAGCCCGAUCUGGGGUUUGAGGCGUGUAGCACCAAGAGGAACCGGAAGGCAUGAUCAACAGGGAAAGGAACACAUCUGGUUGCAGUGAGGCUGAGUCCUCUGGCCUCCCUGCUUAUCCAGUCUGUGUGCCACAAUGCCAAUGGGAGGAAGGAGGAGGAGAACAGAUAAGAUUUAAUUUUCAUCCCCUCUCUGUGUAAACUGUCCCUUCCAGGAUAUCCAAGACCAGUUGUUGGGUUCCUGUUGCACAGCAGAGGGCAGCAUUGAGUCGACAAGUCCCAGCUCCAUGCUAGAGUACUGGGUGUACUGCGAUAACCAGCACGACAUGGCCGACUGUCCUGUAGCCAGCAUCAUCCUCACCCCUCCUGCCACUCCAGCAGCCCACAGUCUGUUCGCUCCUAGUUCAGUGACAGCUGCUGUGUCUGCAGUGAGCUCUGUGGUUAAAUCCAUGGUGUGCAGCCCCGUGACCGACCGCUGCGGCCCCAUCAGUCCCACCCGCUCAGCCUGGGACGCUCUGGGAUCCACAUCCAGGAGUCCUGGCAGCUCUGACCGGGAUCCUGUCAGUGCUGCCGCUCACCUCCACCUGUUGGGAGAAUCCUUGUCCCUGAUUGGACACCAUCUCCAGGAGACUAGUAAAGUGGUGAGCGUGUCGAGCAGCGCGUCUCUGCUCUUGGACUCCCUGCUGUGCGCUCUGGCUCCUCUCAUCGGCCUCACCGCACAGAUCCCAGAGCUGAGGAGCUGCACCCAGCACACACUGCCCUCUACCCUGGAAAACAUUUCCUUCCUGAUGCCCGGGUUGUGAGUGAUGGGGACCUCACUGAUGAUGCUGAUAGGCUCUGUGGGGCAGCUUACAUGUACACACAGACGAUUCAUCUCAAAUAUGUUCUGUUGGAAAUUAAUAUUAGUUUGCACCAUCUGGAAAGAUUGAAUUGUGUAACUGGGCACAUUAGAAGUGUCACUUUAUUUUCUUCUCCUUCACAGUGAAGUUUAUCUGGCGUCUCCAUGGAUUUACAACAUAGUCUCCUAAAUGUUCUUUUACACUCGCAUGUAAAAGUUGUAGAAACUACAAGUUGCAUGAGUUCAUUUAAAUUAAUAUAAACUAUAUAUUUAGCCCCUGAUCAAUUUGACUGCAUACAAACACAGAAGCUUCAAUUUCACAUCUGUGUAAUUAUAGUAAAUUCAAUAAACAUGAAUCAACUCUCGUGACAUGGAGCCAGAGAACUGAAUUAGUUUGAUAUUCCAGGAGGUGGCGCUGUGCUUCACAAUGAAUCCCGAUUGUUUUUCGCAAUGCAGUCUAGUUAUGUCGAAUAUAGAACAAGAACAUGAUUUAAAUAUUGUACUAGAUCAAAGACCAUAUUUCAUAGCUACGCAGCUCGGGUGUAAUUUUCACCAACUGGUCAAGAGGAGAAAAAGUUUGCUUCCCAAAUCAAUAAAAAAAUUGGCAUUUGUACACAUUUUUUCACGCACUUUUUGUAUGUGUAUUAGCGUCAUACUUCUGAGUCAUUAUGCCCGAUCAGAAAAAACUAAAUACUUUAAAGCUAAAUACACUUUGAAGGUUGUAUUCCUGUAAAAAUAUCUAAAUAAAAUAUGAAGUCUAACAAAAUUAA